rnacentral:rRNA from 1 species
UACGUAGGUCCCGAGCGUUGUCCGGAUUUAUUGGGCGUAAAGCGAGCGCAGGCGGUUAGAUAAGUCUGAAGUUAAAGGCUGUGGCUUAACCAUAGUACGCUUUGGAAACUGUUUAACUUGAGUGCAAGAGGGGAGAGUGGAAUUCCAUGUGUAGCGGUGAAAUGCGUAGAUAUAUGGAGGAACACCGGUGGCGAAAGCGGCUCUCUGGGCUGCACCUGACGCUGAGAUGCGAAAGUGUGGGGAGCAAACGGG